GGCAAAGAUGAUUGAUGCUUAUUCUGACACCUCUUGUAUGAGAAUUGGCUCGUAUAGAGUCUCUUCAUUGAGCAAAUCAAGCAACUCUCUGAGCC